rnacentral:pre_miRNA from 1 species
CCGAGACGGGCGGAUCACGAGGUCAGGAGAUCGAGACCAUNGGGGUUUCACCAUGGUCUCGAUCUCCUGACCUUGUGAUCCGCCCGCCUCGG